UCAGUACAGAGCCCGAUGUGGGGCUCGAACUCAUGAGCUCUGAGAUCACGACCUGAGCUGAAGUCAGACGCUCAACUGACUGAGCCACCCAAGCACUCCCAGAGUGCUCUCCUAUUGGUGGGUCUUGCCCCUCAGGAAAUCCCCUUGCUUUGCACAUGGCUAUAGAGUUUCUUGAGACAGUGCCCUUGUUUAUUUGUCACUGUGUGGUAAAGCCCAGCACUUAGUUUGUCACCAAAAAGUACUGCUUCGCUCUCCGUGGUUGGAAAUCUUUUCUGAUAUAUCAAGGGAUAUUCCUUCUGAAACUUAAAAAUGAGUUUCUUCCCGUUCCACCUCCACUAUCCUCACCUUUUUUGAAGAACAGAUUCUCCUCUAAUCUAUGGAGAGCCAAUCAGAGCAUGGCCCUGUCUCCAACGCACUCACCCUCAACCACCUAAAAGAUGUGUAUUUAGCCUGGAUGGGGCCAAUCAGAGUCCAUGUGAAGAACUUUUCAAACUGAUUGAUGGAAGACAUUGGAGACCUCUUUACUUGAACUCCCUGCAGACUGAGAAGAAGACACUCAGUUGAUUUGAAGGAAUUCAAAUUGUUUAAGCGAAGGAUUUUUGAAGACUGUGGAUCAUCUUGGAUUUUAUGUAUCCCACUGGGUCUAUCUGAAACUGUGACGUAGCCACAAACAACUACCAGGAAAUGAAACAAAAAUUAAGAUGCAACUGUGUGACAGUGGACAAAAAUAAAACAAAAACAAUAGUAAAGUUAAAAAAAUAAAGCAUUACUAUAGUAUAUAUUGUUAGUAUAGUACAACAGCAGUUGCUUAAUUCAGAAGCCACUUAAAUAGGACACAUGCAACAUUCAGUUACAAAGUGCAAGACUGAGUAGAGGUUUUCCAACUUGUGAUAUAAAUCACUUAAAAAUCUUUUCAACAAUCUAAUUAAAGGAAUUGAGUCAAAUACAUUAAAAAAUCACUGGCUUCAUCUACAAGUAUUAGAAAGCUCUUAAUUAUAAGACAACUAACUGUACUACAAUAAAACUUACACAUUUGGUCUUUGUCUCUAGUAACUGGUAUAGUGCUCCUAAAAUGUUUGGAAUUUCCAGAGAGGGCGUCUUUUGUUAUGCAUAGUACAUCUACUGGAGAACAUCUGAGUUUAUGGUAAUGAGGUGACUUAGGGCUGAACUUGCUUAGAAGGUUGGAGCUUUCAACCUACCUCAGACCUCCCUGAACAACAGAAGGAUGCGGACUGAAGACUCAGCAAAAUCACCAAUAACUGAUGAUUCAAUCAAUCAUGCCUAUGUAACUAACCCUCAGUUAAAACUAUGAAGUAACAAGGCCAACGGAGCAUACAGGUUGGUGAACACAUUGACAUGAUUGGGAGGGUGGAAUCCCUGGAGAGGGCAUGAAAGCUGUGUACAACCCUUACUUCUUCCACAUAGCUGUUUCUGAUUUGUAUCUUUUAUAAAAACUGGUACUCAUUAAAUAAAGCAGUUUCCAGAG